CCCCUCUCAGGAUCACACCUGGAGAGUUUCCAGUACUCUACCGGUCUCGGCUAUGGGAGGGCGAGUCAGACAGAAGCCUACGCAUUCCAUUCCUAGCUUGGGCAGUGGCUAGCGAGGGGAAGGCAAUCUGCUACAUGU